rnacentral:rRNA from 1 species
GAAUCUGCCUAUUAGUGGGGGACAACAUUUCGAAAGGAAUGCUAAUACCGCAUACGUCCUACGGGAGAAAGCAGGGGAUCUUCGGACCUUGCGCUAAUAGAUGAGCCUAAGUCGGAUUAGCUAGUUGGUGGGGUAAAGGCCUACCAAGGCGACGAUCUGUAGCGGGUCUGAGAGGAUGAUCCGCCACACUGGGACUGAGACACGGCCCAGACUCCUACGGGAGGCAGCAGUGGGGAAUAUUGGACAAUGGGCGCAAGCCUGAUCCAGCCAUGCCGCGUGUGUGAAGAAGGCCUUAUGGUUGUAAAGCACUUUAAGCGAGGAGGAGGCUACUGAAGUUAAUACCUUCAGAUAGUGGACGUUACUCGCAGAAUAAGCACCGGCUAACUCUGUGCCAGCAGCCGCGGUAAUACAGAGGGUGCAAGCGUUAAUCGGAUUUACUGGGCGUAAAGCGCGCGUAGGCGGCUAAUUAAGUCAAAUGUGAAAUCCCCGAGCUUAACUUGGGAAUUGCAUUCGAUACUGGUUAGCUAGAGUGUGGGAGAGGAUGGUAGAAUUCCAGGUGUAGCGGUGAAAUGCGUAGAGAUCUGGAGGAAUACCGAUGGCGAAGGCAGCCAUCUGGCCUAACACUGACGCUGAGGUGCGAAAGCAUGGGGAGCAAACAGGAUUAGAUACCCUGGUAGUCCAUGCCGUAAACGAUGUCUACUAGCCGUUGGGGUCUUUGAGGCUUUAGUGGCGCAGCUAACGCGAUAAGUAGACCGCCUGGGGAGUACGGUCGCAAGACUAAAACUCAAAUGAAUUGACGGGGGCCCGCACAAGCGGUGGAGCAUGUGGUUUAAUUCGAUGCAACGCGAAGAACCUUACCUGGUCUUGACAUAGUAAGAACUUUCCAGAGAUGGAUUGGUGCCUUCGGGAACUU